rnacentral:tRNA from 1 species
GGCCGGAUGGCGAAACAGGCAGACGCACGGGACUUAAAAUCCCGUAUCCAGAAAUGGGUGUGCGGGUUCGAUCCCCGCUCCGGCCA